rnacentral:misc_RNA from 1 species
GAUGAAGUACGUAGCAAAAUGCGAUACUUGGUGUGAAUUGCAGAAUCCCGUGAACCAUCGAGUUUUUGAACGCAAGUUGCGCCCGAAGCCUUUUGGCCGAGGGCACGUCUGCCUGGGCGUCACGCAUCGCGUCGCCCCCCAUAAAUUCUCCGUCAGGGGAGCUUGUGUUUCGGGGGCGGAUACUGGUCUCCCGUGCUCAUGGCGCGGUUGGCCGAAAUAGGAGUCCCUUCGAUGGACGCACGAACUAGUGGUGGUCGUAAAAACCCUCGUCUUUUGUUUCGUGCCGUUAGUCGCGAGGGAAGCUCUUCAAAAACCCCAACGCGUCGUCUCUUGACGGCGCUUCGACCGCGACCCCAGGUCAGGCGGGACUACCCGCUGAGUUUAAGCAUAUCAAUAAGCGGAGGA